GGAGAUGUUGCUGAGCGGUUGAAAG
rnacentral:tRNA from 2 species